AAAACCAGACUAUUGGUGAGAGACAAUAAAUGCGCUAGGACGUCAUUUAAAUACGCGUGUCAUCAAACUUUUGUCUGGCGCGCGUCGCGAGGAAAAACAAAACAAACAACCCGCGGGGAAAAAAAAAAUGUCAGGCGCAUUUUUAUUUUUCAGAACUGUGGAUAUCGGCUCGAUAUAUUUGGUGGCGGGUUCGGAUACAUGUUGAUUGAAUUUAAUUCCCUUGGCUGAAAUCCAUGAAGGCACGGGAUCUACAGAGCAACUGUAUUAGUGCAGUGAGAACAAGACAUCUCAGAACCAACAUACAGCUGACUGCAGCCCUUCAAGAAGUACUUUAAGACUCUGAUAUGGGAUUCACCAUUACCACAGCUUCAGAUUUGAGUCAUCGGAACGUGGCAUUUUUAAGACUGGAACAUGAAGAAAGCAAACAAUGCAGAGGAAGAAAAUUAUCCCCUUUGGUGAACCCUGCUGACAUAAG